rnacentral:rRNA from 1 species
GGGGAAUUUUCCGCAAUGGGCGAAAGCCUGACGGAGCAAUACCGCGUGAGGGAUGACGGCCUAUGGGUUGUAAACCUCUUUUUUCAGGGAGGAAUCAAAUGACGUGUACCUGAAGAAUAAGCAUCGGCUAACUCCGUGCCAGCAGCCGCGGUAAGACGGAGGAUGCAAGUGUUAUCCGGAAUCACUGGGCGUAAAGCGUCUGUAGGUGGUCAAAUAAGUCAACUGUUAAAUCUUGGGGCCCAACCUCAAAAUCGCAGUCGAAACUAUUAGACUAGAGUAUAGUAGGGGUAAAGGGAAUUUCCAGUGGAGCGGUGAAAUGCGUAGAGAUUGGAAAGAACACCGAUGGCGAAGGCACUUUACUGGGCUAU